UGACGGACUAGGCUGGAGAAUUAGCCCUUCUCUGUAACCAUAAACGGGCUUUAUGAUGGAGCUGAAGCUUUCGGGCGGUCUAGGGAUUUACAAGUAGUCUUGGCUCGUACGACGAAGCCUUGUCCUAUUUGGUCGUUAAUAUAUUGAAACGUGUCAGGCUGGGAACAGAGCAGCACUAAAGUAUUUUGAUGACGCUUUUAGGGUGCGGGGUGGAGGAAAGGUCAAGGUUAAACUGCCUGUGGGUUUUUAGAUCCACCUUAAGCGGUCCGUCG
rnacentral:SRP_RNA from 1 species